UACGUAGGGGGCGAGCGUUGUCCGGAUUUACUGGGCGUAAAGAGCGCGUAGGCGGCCAGGUAGGUCUGCUGUGAAAACUCGAGGCUCAACCUCGAGACGUCGGCGGAAACCAUCUGGCUAGAGUCCGGAAGAGGAGAGUGGAAUUCCUGGUGUAGCGGUGAAAUGCGCAGAUAUCAGGAAGAACACCCGUGGCGAAGGCGGCUCUCUGGGACGGUACUGACGCUGAGACGCGAAAGCGUGGGGAGCGAACAGG
rnacentral:rRNA from 1 species